ACGUAGGGUCCAAGCGUUAAUCGGAAUUACUGGGCGUAAAGCGUGCGCAGGCUGUUGUGUAAGACAGAUGUGAAAUCCCCGAGCUUAACUUGGGAACUGCAUUUGUGACUGCACGGCUAGAGUGUGUCAGAGGGGGGUAGAAUUCCACGUGUAGCAGUGAAAUGCGUAGAUAUGUGGAGGAAUACCAAUGGCGAAGGCAGCCCCCUGGGAUGACACUGACGCUCAUGCACGAAAGCGUGGGGAGCAAACAGG
rnacentral:rRNA from 1 species